GGUAACCUGCCCCGGAGCGGGGGAUAACAUUUGGAAACAGAUGCUAAUACCGCAUAACAACAAAAGCCACAUGGCUUUUCUUUGAAAGAUGGCUUUGGCUAUCACUCUGGGAUGGACCUGCGGUGCAUUAGCUAGUUGGUAAGGUAACGGCUUACCAAGGCGAUGAUGCAUAGCCGAGUUGAGAGACUGAUCGGCCACAAUGGAACUGAGACACGGUCCAUACUCCUACGGGAGGCAGCAGUAGGGAAUCUUCCACAAUGGGCGCAAGCCUGAUGGAGCAACACCGCGUGAGUGAAGAAGGGUUUCGGCUCGUAAAGCUCUGUUGUUGGAGAAGAACGUGCGUGAGAGUAACUGUUCACGCAGUGACGGUAUCCAACCAGAAAGUCACGGCUAACUACGUGCCAGCAGCCGCGGUAAUACGUAGGUGGCAAGCGUUAUCCGGAUUUAUUGGGCGUAAAGCGAGCGCAGGCGGUUGCUUAGGUCUGACGUGAAAGCCUUCGGCUUAACCGAAGAAGUGCAUCGGAAACCGGGCGACUUGAGUGCAGAAGAGGACAGUGGAACUCCAUGUGUAGCGGUGGAAGGCGUAGAUAUAUGGAAGAACACCAGUGGCGAAGGCGGCUGUCUGGUCUGCAACUGACGCUGAGGCUCGAAAGCAUGGGUAGCGAACAGGAUUAGAUACCCUGGG
rnacentral:rRNA from 1 species